UCCCCCUUCCUUUCCGUGCCGAUGUGCACGCUCGCCGGUGACCGGAGUCGUCGGAUUUUGUUGCGGAAGAAUUUUCUUUUUUUGCCAUUUUGUCGUCGUCGGUGGUCACCGCCGACCACCGGUUUGGCCCUCUUCUUAUCGGCGAGUCACCCCCUCCUGCCGACGGCCGCCCCACGCCGGCUGCGCCGCCGGCCAGCCACCCAACGAGGGGA
rnacentral:lncRNA from 1 species